rnacentral:lncRNA from 10 species
GAGGGGUUUUGUCUGCAGCUCCUCCUGCUACAGAAGGAAAGCAAAGGAGAGAGGGAUGGAGAAAUAGAACCAGAGGGAGAGAGAGAGACAGCGAUAGAGAGAGAGAGAGAGAUAGAAAAGGGGGGAGGAGAGAGAGAGGGGGGAAGAGAGAGCACCACAGUAGAGCACGAGGUGGAGGGGGAAGUAGAGAAAGGGAGAGGGUGAGGGAGUUGUGGAGCGACAGCGACAGAGCCUUGGAGAGGGAGGCUCUGCUCAGGAGACACAGGCAGAGCCUGUGACACUACAGCUUCUGGCACACAGUAGGUAGGUGCAUCACAAACAUCUGCUGAGUUCACACACUCUUGCCUUCUCAAACCUUCCUGUCAAGUCUUCAGUGAAAAGGAAUUGCUGAUUGAGCAAGAAUUAAACUUCUAGAGACUCCUGGAUCCACUGAAGUUUGAGACAAGGUGAGAUUUGUUUACUGUCAUAUUCCUAGCUCAUAACAUAUUGUAGUCACUUAAAAAAGUUUGCUGAAUAAGUGAGUAAAUUGAUUCAUACGUCAUACUUAGCUAUAUAUUUUCUGAGUAGAAUUGAUAAAGUUAAUAGUUUAAGUCUAGUAUAAUUUUGCUUUACUCAUUCAACGAACCUGACAAUUCAACUAGGUGCCAGGCACACUGCUGCUGAAGAAAAAGAGGUAUAAGAUAUAAUUUCUGUCUACAAGAAAGCCAC